CUAAGUUUGAUGGCGACCGGCGCACGGGUGAGUAACACGUAUCCAACCUGCCGAUGACUCGGGGAUAGCCUUUCGAAAGAAAGAUUAAUACCCGAUGGCAUAGUUCUUCCGCAUGGUAGAACUAUUAAAGAAUUUCGGUCAUCGAUGGGGAUGCGUUCCAUUAGGUUGUUGGCGGGGUAACGGCCCACCAAGCCUUCGAUGGAUAGGGGUUCUGAGAGGAAGGUCCCCCACAUUGGAAACUGAGACACGGUCCAAACUCCUACGGGAGGCAGCAUG
rnacentral:rRNA from 1 species